GAUGAAGAACGCAGCGAAAUGCGAUAAGUAAUGUGAAUUGCAGAAUUCAGUGAAUCAUCGAAUCUUUGAACGCAUCUUGCGCUCCUUGGUAUUCCUUGGAGCAUGCCUGUUUGAGUAUCAUGAGCAAAUCUCAAAGUCAAUUCCUUUUGUUGAUUCAAUUGGUUUUGCUUUGGACUUGGAGGCCUUGCAGAUUUCACAGUCUGCUCCUCUUAAAUGCAUUAGCUGGAUCUCAGUAAUUAUGCUUGGUUCCACUCGGCGUGAUAAGUAUCACUCGCUGAGGACACUGUUAAAAAGGUGGCCAGGAAAAUACUGAUUGAACCGCUUCUAACGGUCUAUUAAGUUAGACAAUUACCCUUAAGUUUGAUCUCAAAUCAGGUAGGACUACCCGCUGAACUUAAGCAUAUCAUAGCGGAGGA
rnacentral:misc_RNA from 1 species